UACGAAGGGGGCUAGCGUUGCUCGGAAUGACUGGGCGUAAAGGGCGCGUAGGCGGCGCAGUUAGUCAGGCGUGAAAUUCCUGGGCUCAACCUGGGGACUGCGCUUGAUACGGCUGUGCUUGAGGAUGGAAGAGGCUCGCGGAAUUCCCAGUGUAGAGGUGAAAUUCGUAGAUAUUCGCAAGAACACCAGUGGCGAAGGCGGCUCACUGGCCCGGUACUGACGCUGAGGUGCGAAAGCGUGGGGAGCAAACAGGG
rnacentral:rRNA from 1 species